rnacentral:snoRNA from 1 species
GCCUUGAGUUCAGGUCAGGGCAGUGUCUCUGUUCUAUUAAACUCAGAGACAUCAAACUGACCAGGGUAGCUGACUGCUAGAAAAUAUUACUCUAUUCACUUACCUCCUAGCCAUAAAAA